UAGAUGACUCUGACUCUCUUAAACUUUCCAUUGAUCAAGGACAAUGGUGAAAUACUGGGAUUUCUAAAGCUUCUUCUAAUAAGUGAUGACUCUUACCACCCUGCCUAUUUUGUGAGGUAUGGCGAGGGCGUAGGAUUAUUGGCAGAUAUAGAGAUGUAGAAAAUGAGAUUCAUGAGUGACUGAAUGAAUUACAAGUCAGACCUUGGACCCAGGACUUCUGAUUCCAAGGUGAGUGUUACCUCCUUUACAGAGGAUUGUCUCUGCAGAUAGUAUGUAAAAUUAAUGGAAAUGAGGAGGUGGGCUAUGAGGGAAAUGUGCAAUCAACUCUGAAAUUGCAGAGUGCAGAUGUCAGCAAAGCAGGUAGUUCAUUAAAGAAGAUCAAUAGGCUGAACAGCAUGGUUGCCAUGAGAUGCACCACAGAUCGCUGUUUUGUGUAUACAUGAGAGUUGGCUAUAUGGUGGAUCAAAAAUAAAAAUAAAACAGGCUGGAUGUGGUGGCUCACAUCUGUAAUCCCAGCACUUUGGGAGGCUAAGGCGGGUAGACCACUUGAGAUGAGGAGUCUGAGAACAGCCUGGCCAACAUGGUGAAAUCCCAUCUCUACAAAUAAGACAAUUAGCCAGGUGUUGUGGUGUGCACCUGUGAUCCCAGUCUCUUGGGAGGCUGAGGCAGGAGAAUCGCUUGAACCCAGGAGACACGGGUUGAAGUGAGCCGAGAUACUGCCACUGCACUCCAUCCUGUGCAACAGAGCGAGACUCCACCUCAUUCCGUCCGUCCGUCCGUCCAUCCAUCCAUCCAUCCAUCCAUCCUUCCUUCCAUCCUUCCUACUCCUUUUAGUUGCAUGCAGUGAUUGUUGAUUAUUUGUAAGUGAUGCUUCCACACUUGUUUCCUUGAUAAAGUAAUUGAUCAACAUAUGGUCCCUUCAUGCCUUUUCUAAUUGAUGCUUAUGGAAAAGCUGACAACAAUAAAUGACAGGGUUAUUGUAAUACCCAAUCAAGAUAUUUGAGGAUAGAGAUGGUUUAUAGUGCUCUAAACAUCACUGUAGAUCCUCAGUAAACGUUACUGAGGAUGGAAAAGUCUGGCGGAACGCUCAGUAAAAGGUAGACAUGCAUGUUUUGGAGAAAGGGAAUGGAUGGGAUGUAGGAAAUGCUAAUACAUAGUUAAUGCAUAGGCAAUAGACACAGAGCUUGUAAUGUAUAAUGGACAAGCACUUACCUUGUAGAAUAAUGGUAGUUUUGACGAAGGAUAAAGAGUGAUUACUUUUAACUUAUUGGUACCUAUUGGUCUUCCAAUCCAGUGAAUAGCCUUUCAAAGUUCAAGUUUGGGCCACAUUAUCCAUCCCAAGGUUACAUUUUCCAUGGAAUAACAAUGACCCCAACUCCAGCUACUUUUCACAUGCCAUAGUCAUGCACUCAGCCGAACACCCCUGCAAGCACUUUUUACACGCCUCUGUUAUGUUAAGUGCUUGAGGCCACAGAUCUGAUUGAGAUGCCCCAGAGAAAGGUUAUUAAGUGAGAAGAGUGAGAAGAGUAGAGGGCCUCCUUCAAGUAUUAAAGCACCCCAACACUUAUAGGCUACGUAAAUGAGGAUUUUGAUGAGUAGCUGGGGGCAGGAGCACAAUUAGGAGAGGGUGACAUCACUACAGAAAUCAAAGGAAGAAAGUGUUUCACAAAGGAGGGUGUGGUCAACAGGGCUGAGUUGUUGGGGAAGAUGAGGGCUGAAAAAGUCAGUUGGCUCAAGUAAUAUGGAGACCACUAGAGAACUUGGCAAGGGCUGUUUCGGCGAAGUGGAGUGAGCAGAAAUCAGAUCUCUGUGGGCUGAAAAGGGCAGUGGCAUCCUCAUGCCAGCUGGUCUCCUAGUGGCUGCCCCUGUGACCUGCUUCUGAAUGGCCAGGCAGGAAAGGACUCCCACUGUGUUGCAUUUAAAGAAAAGAAAAAGAUGAAUUAAGUGAAAAGCUCUGCAAACAACUGAGUGUAAUUAUUGGGUAGGUACUCAUGAGUGAGCCAGCCUGCAUUUCUGAACUCACGUCGUGGGAAAAGCAACAAACACUUUUAAGACAAAAGAUAAAGGAAAUGAAAACUUGUCCUGGCCCCUGAACGUAUUGCCAGCUGUCAUCCCUGCUUCUAUGAUGCAUGUGUAGGGCGGAGAUUCAGCUAAAUGGAGCAUCUAUGGCAAGAAGCUUCAAGGAACAUUGAUUUUCUUCCCUGGGUGUCUGAAAAAGCUCUGCUCUCCAGGCAUCUUUAUUUGGUUUGCUGACCAAAGUAUUAUUCACACUUCUCCUGCAGUCAUUCCAAUGCCACACCUGCUGCAAGGUGGUCCUGGCUCCUGCCUCUGAAUGACAGUAGUCUGGAUCUCUGACUUGAGCCAUGCAGCCCUUUGAAGGAAAAGUGCUUUAGGAGCCCAGCCCUCUGAGGAUGCAAAGCCUCUCCCAGGUGCUUGCUUUUAUCUGUCUUGUGUGGAGGAUGCCUUCUGUGAGGUCUUACGCCUCUAGGGUUUCCCUGGGUUGGUCCCUAUGUGAUGUUUCUAAUGUGAAAUGCAGCCUGUGAAAGAGAAGACAAUGCCUCGAGUCUGAUCUGUCCUAAGAUGAAUGUGCUAAUGCUCCAGGACCGAUAAGACAGAGGAGGUCAAGAAGGGGCCUUGUGGCCUGCUUCAAGCUAGAAGUCUACUGUGGUCGAUGAAAAAAUGCCCUACCCAAAGGACAGUUCUAGCAAACCAAUACAAACCCUCAAGGAAGAGAGAGGCAGUGUAAGAACUCAAUUGACCAUUGCUGGCUUUGAAGAUGGAGAGUGGGACCAUGACCCAAGGAAUGCAGGUAGCUUCCAGAACCUGGAAAGGGCUUCCAGUGCCAACACCUCGAUGUUAUCCCAGUGAGACUUGUGUUGACUUUCUGACCCAUAGAACUGUUAGAUAAUCAGUUUGUGUUGUAAGACACUAAGCUUCUGGUUACAGCAGAAUGAAGAAACUAAUACAUCUGUAGUUGAUAAAUUGAGAGGGAUUACGUUUGAUUUCUUUUCUCUAUCUACUUUUUGAACUUCAUUUUCUCCUGCUCCUCUCUUGCUAGCAAGGGGCAGAGGGCAGGGUGGAGGGGUAAGGGGAACAGAACAGGAUCAGGCUAGCUUUGCCCCUCAGGACCUGACUUUGCUUAAGCGGGACUCACUUAGGUGGUAUUUUCCUAUCACUGGGCCCCUCUCCCCUCUAAAGAUUCAUCUCUGUUGUUUGCUGCUCCAAUUCUCCAUAGUCUCUGAAGUUUUACCUUCAUUGUGUCCCACUCCUACGGCUAGCUCUUGGCAUCCUCUGAACUCUGGGUGGUUUUACCAAAUUGAGCCCCAAACAACCCCAUGCUGGCUCUCUCUCCAUCUCUCUCUCCCCGACUUGGCCAAGAUUGACUCAAUUGCAAACUUACACAUCCCUGGCCCUGACCAGGAUUGCAGGCCCAGGCACAGCAGUGUCCUUUCUGGACCACCAAGGCUGUUUGUUGACUUGCCUCACACCUCUAGAUUUCCGGAGAAGACGCAGCUCACUUAAGCUUUCUAGAUGCAGGUUUCACAUUUUAAAAACUCCUUGAGUGGUUGUUUGAGGGAGGCUUCCCUGUCUCAUCUCAGUUCUCCUGGCCUGAGGAGAAGUGGGUAGGAACAGCCAGAAGUGGUGGCACGGGGAGACCACGCACAACAACUAACAGCUCCCUCUUAGAAACGGACAGACAAAACACACAACAAAAACCACACUUUUGGACCGGGCGCAGUGGCUCAAGCCUGUAAUCCCAGCACUUUGGGAGGCCGAGACGGGUGGAUCACGAGGUUAAGAGAUCAAGACCAUUCUGGUCAACAUGGUGAAACCCCGUCUCUACUAAAAAUACAAAAAAAAAAUUAGCUGGGCGUGGUGGCGCGUGCCUGUAAUCCCAGCUACUCAGGAGGCUGAGGCAGGAGAAUUGCCUGAACCCAGGAGGCGGAGGUUGCGGUGAGCCGAGAUCGUGCCAUUGCACUCCAGCCUGGGUAACAAGAGCGAAACUCCAUCUCAAAAAAAAAACAAACAAACCAUAUUUCUAAACCCAUCAUCCCAUCUCUCCACAGCUUCAAUUCUUUUCAUCAUCCACAUUUGACUUAGGAUCCAAGAGUCUUAGAAAUAUUUCCCAUGCAUUUCUUCUUACCAAGCAUACUUUGACCUCUCCCUUUGGGUUUUGCAUUUGGGGUACUUGACUGAGAUUUCAAAUUUGAGAUUGUCAGUUCUCUCCCCCACCUCCAGUCAGCCUUGCCCACCUCAACAAAUGUCCACUUCAUUCUUUCAGUGUGGGUCACUCUGGACUUUGUUUUUUCUUUCACAUUAUCAGUCAACAAGUCUGUCGGUUCUACCUUUGAAAUAAAUUCAUCUAGGAUCCCACCCCUCUUCACCACUGCCACCACCAUGCUGGCUGAAGCCACUGUUACUUUUCAUGGGUUAGGACACCCUCUGUCUGGUGUUGCCUCUACCGUCUAGUCUCCACACAUAGCCAGAACUACCCUUAAAACGUAUAUCAGAGACAGUGAUUUCUCAGCUUGUCAUUUUCUGACGACUUCCCACAAUACUUAAGUAACAUCUCAAAAUGUGAUCAUGCCCUAUGUAUUAGUUUCCCUUUUAUUAUUCUUAUUUAUUAAACUGUAAGUUCUGGGAUAUAUGUGCAGAACAUGCAGGUUUGUUACAUAGGUAUACAUGUGCCAUAGUGGUUUGCUUCACCCAUCAACUCGUUAUCUAGGUUUGAAGCACUACAUGUGUUAGAUAUUUGUCCUAAGGCUCUCCCUCCCCUUGCUCUCCAUUCCCCAAAAGGCCCCGGUGUGUGAUGUUCCCCUCCCUGUGUCCAUGUGUUCUCACUGUUCAACUCCUACUUGUGAGUGAGAAGAAUAUGCAGUGUUUGGUUUUCCGUUCCUGUGUUAAUUUGCAGAGAAUGAGGGUUUCCAGCUUCGUCGAUGUCCCUGCAAAGGACAUGAACUCAUUCUUUUUUUAUGGCUACGUAGUGUUCAAUGGUAUAUGUGUGCCACAUGUUCUUUAUCCAGUCUAUUGUUGAUGGGCAUUUGGGUUGCUUCCAAAUCUUUGCUAUUGUGAACACUGCAGUAAACAUAUGUGCAUGUAUCUUUAUAGUAUAAUGAUUUAUAAUCCUUUGGGUAUAAACCCGGUAAUGCGAUGGCUGGGUCAAAUGGUAUUUCUCAGUCAAAAGGUUCUAGAUCCUUGAGGAAUCUCCACGCUGUCUUCCACAAUGGCUGAACUAAUUUACACUUCCAGCAACAGUGUAAAAGCAUUCCUAUUUCUCCACAUCUUCUCCAGCAUCUGUUGUUUCCUGACUUUUAAAUUUUCACCAUUUUAACUGGCGUGAGAUGGUAUCUCAGUGUGGUUUUGAUUUGCAUCUCUCUAAUGACCAGUGAUAAUGAGCUUUUUUUCAUGUUUGUUGGCUGCAUAAAUGUCUUUUGAGAAGUGUCUGUUCAUAUCCUUCACCUACUUUUUGAUGGGGUUGUUUUUUUUCUUGUAAAUUUGUUUAAGUUCUGUAAAGGAUUUUAAUUAUCUUUUGCUUGUGAAGCUUAGUUUGGCUGGAUAUGAAAUUCUGGGUUGGAAUAUUCUUUAAGAAUGUCAAAUACUGGCCCCCACUCUCUUCUGGCUUAUAGGGUUUCUGCAGAGAGAUCCUCUGUUAGUCUGAUGGCCUUCCCUUUGUAGGUAACCUGACCUUUUUCUCUGGCUGUCCUUAACAUUUUUUUUUUCUUUUCAGCCUUGGAGAAUCUGAUUAUUAUGUUUCUUGGGGUUGCUCUUCUUGAGGAGUAUCUUUGUGGUGUUCUCUUCAUUUCCUGAAUUUGAAUGUUGGCCUGUCUUGCUAUGUUGGGGAAGUUCUCCUGGAUAAUAUCUUGAAGUAUGUUUUCCAGCUUGGUUCCAUUUUCCCUGUCACUUUCAGGUACACCAGUCAAUCUUAGGUCUUUUCACAUAGUCCCAUAUUUCGUGGAGGCUUUGUUCAUUCCUUUUCAUUCUUUUUUCACUAAUCUUGUCUUUAUGCUUUAUUUCAUUAAGUUGAUCUUCAAUCUCUGAUAUACUUUCUUUGGCUUGAUUGAUUCAGCUGUUGAUACUUGUGUAUGCUUCACGAAGUUGUUGUGCUGUGUUUUUCAGCUCCAUCAAGUCAUUUAUGUUCUCUAAACUGGUUAUUCUAGUUAGCAGUUCCUAUAACCAUUUAUCAAGGUUCUUAGCUUUCUUGCAUUGGGUUAGAACAUGCUCCUUCAGCUCAGAGGAGUUUGUUAUUACACACCUUCUAAAGCCUACUUCUGUCAAUUUGUCAGACUCACUCUGUCCAGUUUUGUGCUCUUGCUGGAGAGGAGUUACAAUCAUUUGGAGGAGAAGAGGCAUUCUGGGUUUUUGGAAUUUUCAGCAUUUUUGCACUGGUUUUUCCUCAUCUUCAUGGAUUUAUCUACCUUUGAUCUUUGAUACUGAUGGCCUUUGGAUGGGGUUUUUGAGUGGUCAUCUUUUUUGUUGACGAUGAUGGUAUUGCUGUUUAUUAGUUUUCCUUCUAACAGUCAGACCCCUUCUGCAGGUCUGCUGGAGUUUGCUGGAGGUCCAUUCCAGACCCUGCUUGCCUGCGUAUCACCAGUGGAGGCUGCAGAACAGCAAAGAUUGCUGCCUGCUCCUUCCUCUGGAAGCUUUAUCCCAGAGGGGCAUCUGUGUGAUGCCAGCUGGAGCUCUCCUGUAUGAGGUGUCUGUUGACCCCUGCUGGAAGGUUUCUCCCCAUCAGGAGGCUUAGGGGUCAGGAACCCCCUCAAGGAGGCAGUCUGUUGCUUAGCAGAGCUUGAGCACUGUGCUGGGAGAUUGGCUGCUUUCCUCAGAGCCGGCAGGCAAGAACGUUUAAGUCUGCUGAAGCUGCACACACAGCUACCCCUUCCCCUAGGUGCUCUGUCCCAGGGAGAUGGGAGUUUUAUCUAUAAGCUCCUGAUUAGGGUUGCUGUCUUUCUUUCAGAGAUGCCCUGCCCAGUGAGGAGGAAUCUAGAGAGGCAAUCUGGCCCUAGGCACUUUCCCAUGCUGCAGUGAGUUUUGGACAGUCAGAGUUAACACUGUUAGGGGAAAACCACCUACUCAAGCCUCAGUAAUGACGGAUGCCCCUCGCCCCACCAAGCUCAGUCAUCCCAUGUUGACUUCAGACUGCUGUGCUGGCAUCAAGAAUUUCAAGCCAGUGGAUCUUAGCUUGCCAGGCUCUGUGGGAGUGGGAGCCUCUGGGCAAGACCACUUGGCUUCCUGGCUUCAGCCCCCUGGUGAGUGAAUGGUUCUGUCUCUCUGGGGUUCCAGCUGCCACUGAGUUGUGAAGAAAAACUCCUUCAGCUGUUCAUCUGCCCAAACAGCUGCCCAAUUGUGUGCUUGAAACCCAGGGCCCUGGCGGUAUAGGCACACAAGGGAAUCUCCUGGUCUGUGGAUUGUAAAAACUGUGGGAAAAGCAUAGUAUCUAUUAAAAACUGUGGGAAAAGCACAGUCCCUCAUGGCACAGUCCUUCAAGGCUUCCCUUGGCUAGGGGAGGGAAGUCCAUGGCCCCUUGCACUUCCAGGGUGAGGUGACACCCCACCCUGCUUCUGCUCACCCUCUCUGGGCUGCACCCACUAUCUAACCGGCCCUAGUGAGAUAAACUGGGUACCUCAGUUAGAAAUGCAGAAAUCACCUGCCUUCUGCAUUGGUCUUACUGGGAGCUGUACACUGGAGCUGUUCCUCUUCCGUCAUCUUGCCAGCUCUCUUGUAUUAGUUUCCUCUUGCUGGCAUAAGGAAUUGUCUCCAUUUUAGCAGCUAAAAACAACAUCCAUUUAUUAAUUCCUGGUUCUGCAGGUCAGAGUCCCAUAGACUUGGCUGGUUUCUCUGCCCUGAGUCUUAUUAGGUUGACAGCAAGGGGCCAACAAGGCUGCAUUCCCUUUUGAAAAUUUUGGAGAUGGAUGUGUGUCUUUGUUCAUUCAGGUUAUUUGCUGAAUUCAGUUCCUUGUAGUUGUAACACUGAGAUCUCCCUUUCCUUUCUCACAGUCAGCCCAGGGCGGCCUUUGCUCCUAGAUGCUGCUUACAUUCCUCAGUCUUUCCAGGUGGGCCCUCCACCCACAGCAGGUAGGGUCCCUCUCUCACUUCAGAUCUUUCCUCCUUACUCUUCUCACUCCAGCCAGACAUUGCUCUAAUUUUAGAUGAGUUCCACUCCCUGGUUUAGGGUCUGCUAUCUUCAUGACAUCUGCCAAAUCUCAUCACAGCAGUACCCAAGUUAAUGGUUGAUUGAAUGACUGGGAGAUAGUAAUAGUAAGGGAUACCUUUAGAAUCCUGCCUGCCGCUGCCUAGGAAGUCUUGAAUGAUAUGAUUCUUGUGACCUCUCUGACUUCAUGUCAUUGCUCUUUCCCUUUUACUCUCUGGGCUCCAGGCCAGCAUCGCCUCCUUGCUAUUUUCUCCAACUGACCAAACCUACCCCACUUGAGGGCCUUGACACUUCCCAUUUCCUCUGCCAGGAACGCCCUUGCCCAAGGCCUUUUUGUGGCCCACUCUCUCACUGUGUUGGCUGAUCCUCUGGGAAGCAGACUUCAAGGCAGUUUUAGGAGAGUUCGAGAUGUAUCGGGGGGAGAGGAGGAGAAAGGAGGAUUGGAGGAAGAGCCUCUGAUUUCCACACGUGCUGCACUGAGAAAGUGUCAGCCAGCCCAGUGGGGAGCUUUGGCUACAGAGAUUGCCUGUGGAAGAGUCCCACGCUGCCUGGGAAAUGGUAAGCCCUUGUAUCAUUGUGCUCCGUCAUUGGCUGAGGGCUAUCCAGGAAGCAUGUGGCCUCCACUCCAAAGCUGAGGCAGAAAAAAACAAAUGUCCAUCAACAGAUGAGUGGAUGGACAAAACGUAGUAUGCACAUUCGGUGGAAUAGUAUCCGGCCAUGGAAAGGAAUAAAGUAUGGACACACACCAGGAUGAACACUGGGAACACUGUGCUCAGUAAAAUAAACCAGCCACAGAAGGACAAACAUUGUAUGCUCCUACUUAUGGUGAAUGUCUGGAAUAGGUAAAUCCAUAGAGAUAGAUGUAGAUUAGAAGGUACCGAAGCUUGCAGAAGGAAGGGAUGGGGGGUUAUCAUUUAAUGGGUACAGUUCCUGUUUGAGGUGGUAACAAUUCUUGGAACCAGAUGGUAGUGAUGGUUGCACAGAAUUGUGAAUAUAAUGAACACCACUUAAAAAUCUGAAAAAUGAUGGAAGUGGUAAAAUUUAUGCUGCAUACAUUUUACUACAGUAAAAAAACAUAGUUAAGAAAACAAAAGACCAAGGAAGAUCCUGAAAGCACCAGCAGCUAGAAGCUGUCAGCAGAGAGCGACUUUUGUGGAAGCACAUCUCCACGGCUGCCACGCUCACCUUCUCAGGCCUCUGCCGAAAUGGCAACUGAGCGGUGAGUCCUUUAAUGACUAAAUUACAUCCAAGAGAAAGGCCUAUCCUUCUUUUCUUUUUUUUUUUUUUGAGAUGGAGUCUUGCUCUGUUGCCAGGCUGGAGCACAGUGGCACAGUCUCAGCUCACUGCAAUCUCCACCUCCUGAGUUCAAGCGAUUCUUCCGCCUCAGCCUCCCGAGUAGCUGGGACUACAGGUGUGUGCCAAACACCUGGUUACUUUUGGAAUUUUUUGUAGAGACAGGGUUUCACCAUGUUGGCCAGGAUGGUCUUGACCUCUUGACCUCCUGAUCCACGUGCCUUAGGCUCCCAAAAUGCUGGGAUUACAGGCAUGAGCCACUGUGCCUGGUACCUUCCUUUUUUUUUUUUGAGACUGAGUCUCUCUCUCUCUCCAGGCUGGAGUGCUGUGGCACGAUCUUGGCUCACUGCAGCCUCCAGCUCCCAAGUUGAAACAAUUCUACUGCCUCAGCCUCCUGAGUAGCUGGGACUACAGGUGCAUGGCACCACGCACAGCUAAUUUUUGUAUUUUUAGUAGAGACUGGGUUUCACCAUGUUGGUCAGGAUGGUCUUGAUCUCUUGACCUCGUGAUCUGCCUGCCUCGGCCUCCUAAAGUGCUGGGAUUACAGGUGUGAGCCACAACACCUGGCCAGGCCCAUCCUUCUUACCCAAGUUAAUUUUUCUCCAUUACACUUAAAACCUUCUGACUUUUAUAUUUACCUGUUUAUUUUCUGCUUCCCCAGUAGACCAUGAGCACUGUGUGUAUAGAGUGUCCAUCUGUAGACUCACAGAGCAAGAAGCGUGCCUGCCUCAAUCUUGAAUGGAUGAGUAAGUGACCUACCUGAUGAUUCAUUCAUUAGACAAAUAGUUGAUCUCAGUCAAUUACAUCAUGUCUUGUGUUAUUUAUACUUUCCAUUGAUAAAUUACUACAGACAGAGUUCAGUCAGCCCUUCCUAAUUAGAGGGUACCCUGUCUUUUGGAAAGCUACUUUGUUUUUCCCCCCUGUGAAUUGAAUUAUCAGAAGCUCAUCACAGGAAAGGAGAUCAUUCUGGAGUAACUUUUGCACUGAAACUGCACUGGACAUUACUGAGCUCCGUCCUGAUGGAAGAAGAAUGUCCCGGGAAUCAGGAAACGUGCGGCAUGUUCAGUCUGGGGUUGACUUCUGUUCAAGAAUGUAGGGGGUGCAAUAAGAAGAUGGUAUGUCAGAAACUGGAGAGUUGGCACAGAUGAAAGGUCUGUUGGAAAGGGUUGGAAGAGAGACAGCGUCCAUGUUUGAAGCCAGGGAGGAAGGAGGGCAGAUAGAAUGGUUCACGUUGGAGAGGAGAGAGACUGAAAACACUCUUCUGCCCAGAGAAUUUUUUUUAAUGGGAAGCCUUGACCUUGAGCAUGGUUGGAGAGAGGUCUGGGGACUAAUGAGGGGCUUAGAUGAUAUAGAAAAGAUUUUGUGAGACCUGGAACCAGCUAGGUCAGAGGAUGAACCAUAAUUCUAUCCAGAAAAAAUUAACUGGCUUUAUUUAUGGUAAGUCCUGGUUCCAGACCGCUGUGGUCAGUAGAUAAAGGGAGAAUGUGUGUGUGUGUCUUUCUAGGGAACUUCUGUUUCUUUUGUCUUAGUUCUCUUCUUCCCACACCUCUUUUCUUCUUCUUCAUCCCAUCCCCACAAUAAUAUCUGAACCGUUUGAUGCCAACAUCUCAAAAUGUAACCCUGAAGUCAAAGAGAAAAGGGGUGUUCCAUGGGGGGAUAGCUGUUAAGAGCAGGUGAGUCUGGAAGGGCCACCCCUCUCCCAUCAACUAGAACAUUCCACCUAGUAAACUCCCAGCUUGUAAAUUCCAUUCAGCUAGCAGGUUCCAGGAGUAGUAUUUCCAAAGAAUUAUAAUGUAAAAGAUUAACAGGUGGUCCAGGGAACUGAGAAUCAAACAAAAAGGCUUGUUAAAUAAAAUGAGUUAAAUGAAAGUUACAAUUAAAAGGCCUGUGGGAGAAAUCUAGGAGAGAAAAUGUCUUCUGGAAUUAGGUCCAGAAAAUGGUCAGUGUGUUUCUGUGGGUCCUGGUUCAAGAAAAGAUGCACAAAGGGCAGUGUUGUUUGGAAGAGUGAGUCCCUGGUGCCGGUUGAAUGAGCCUGGUGUGGUGGGUCCUGCAGCCCCUUUCAUCUCAGUAAGUUCUUGUCACAUCUCCACUUUCCUUCCGUGUCCCAGGCCGCUAUAGCAGUUGAACUUCGAGGAUGGAGAACUAGAACACAAUUCUCCUGGAGAGCUGAGAAUUGUAAACAUUCACCCCGCAUCCAUCUCUUCCUCAUCACUUCCAUUUUGCACAUUGCUCCUGGUUUGCUCCUCCUAAAGCCUGAACCUUGCAUUAUUACUAUAAUCUCCUCCCUCCCACCUCCACAGACUCCCCUUUUCUACUGAUCACAGUCCACAUGAAGUGUGGGGCAGUCAACGUUCUUCAUGCCCUUGAGCAAGGCUCGAGUCUUGCCUUUGCAUUCCUAUUCAGAAGGCUUGGAAUUCAUUGAAGAGAGUUAACUGAUGCUCUCCUUGAUAAUUUUCCUUUUAUUAUUCCAGGCAUCAUUCUGUUUGCUGCUUCCCUUCUAUGACAACUUAAAUCCAAUUAUUCUUUCUUUCAUGCUCUAUUCAAAUGGCACCACCACCCCAAAAGCCUCCUCUGAUCACCACUCCACCUUUCUAUGGCAGAUUUUACAAUUACCGUAUAUCAAGGGGACCUGCGCAUCUGUCUUGUCUCUCCCACUGCAGUUUAAGCAAAAGAUCAUGUUGCUAUGCUCAGCUCUGGCUUCUUCACAAGGCACACAGCAGAGUAUAUAGAAGAUGCUCAGAAAGUUUUUAUGGAAAUAAAGAGAUAGGAUAGAUGGCUCAUGUCGGGAAGUAAGACUUGGAGAAGAAGCGAGGUUCCUUGUAAGACAGAAAAGAAGGCACGCCUGUAAUCCCAGCACUUUGGGAGGCCGAGGUGGGUGGAUCACGAGGUCAAGAGAUCAAGACCAUCCUGGUCAACAUGGUGAAACCCCGUCUCUACUAAAAAUACAAAAAAUUAGCUGGGCAUGGUGGUGUGUGCCUGUAAUCCCAGCUACUCGGGAGGCUGAGGCAGGAGAAUUGCCUGAACCCAGGAGGCGGAGGUUGUGGUGAGCCGAGAUCGCACCAUUGCACUCCAGCCUGGGUAACAAGAGCGAAACUCCAUCUCAAAAAAAAAAAAAAAAAAAAGAGAAAAGAAGGGGGGGAGGAUGAAUGAACAUGUACAAAAACACUGAGAUAAAAAAGAAGGAAGGUGGGGAAGUACUUAUGGGAGAGCUGUUAUAUUCUUGGGUUGCUAGUUCCCUGGGAGCUAGAAACAAGAGUUUGGGAAGCAUCAUAGAAGAACUAGUCAAAGCAGAGGUUGGAAGUACGUACAAACGUAUUUCUAGAAGUACGUACAAAUGUAUUUCUAGAAGUAUGUACAGAUGUAUUUCUAGAGGUGUGAAAAGAGAUCUUGUGGGUUGGGGAGAAAGGGGUGGACAAGAUCGAGCCUGGGUGUAGCUAUGGUUAUGGGGGGUGAAUAAGAAAUGGAGGAAGAAGGAGGUUCAGUGUUAGGGAACCCUAAAGUAGAACUGGAAAAGGAGUUAAUAGAGAGAAGACAGAGACUAAAAAACUAAAAAGACAAAAAAGCAGACAAAAGAAAAGCCUUCUCUAGUUAAAGUAACCUUUGAAUAGCAGUUUGAACACAGAGGAGGGACAGAAGUGUCUCCUGCUGGAUGCACAUGAGCUGUGGGAAGAGAACCCAAGGGGAUGAGAACCUCAUGGCAAUGAAAGGAAAUUGACUCUGUAGCUAUGAUCAGCCAUCAAGUGAUCUAUCCUGGUAUCUUACAAACUGAGUUCCUUGGGGCAUCUCUGGGAGGUGGAGUGGGUUUUGGAGGCCAUAUUUGUUUUCUAGGGUUAUUGUAACAAAUGAUCACAAACUGGGUAGCUUAAACAACAGAAGUGUAUUCUCUCAUAGUUAUUCUGGCCAGAAGUCUGGAAUCAAGGUGUCAAUAGGAGGCCAGGCUCCCUUGGAAGGCUCUGGGAGGCCCCUUCCUUGCCUCUUGGAGCUUCUGGUAGCCCAAGUGUUCCUUGGCUCCUGGCAGCAUAGCUCUGAAGCCUCUGCCUUCACAGUCUCAUGGCCAUCCUCCCCGCCUGCCUGUGUCUUCAUGUGGCAUUCUCUUCCUGCUGUGUCUCCUUGUCUUCAGAGGAUACCAGGAAAAUCAGAGGGGAAUCCCACAAGAAGUGUGUGACUGUUUUGCCUCAUUGAAAAUAUAAGGUGCUAUGGCUUGAAAUACAUUGGUAUUCUGCCCCGGCUUCACUGCAGCGUGAACAGCAAUGAUGUUCUCCUGAAUAUCAAUUCCAGACGUUUUAGGAAGGGCUCAGCAGUUCCGUGAGAAUGAAGCUGUGUUACUCAAGUGUAAUAAGCCAAAAAAAAAAAAAAAAAUCUUGUUUUCAUGCAGCACUUGUACAGACCCGUGACCUGGACAGGUAAGUGCCUUUUCUGUUCAUUGUAGGCUUGGAAGGCACAGGGUAUUCACUCAGGCUUAUCAGCACAAGCGGAGAAGGAACAUUCCAGCCCAGGGAAUUGAGUCGAAAUGAGUAUCAGGGACCCAGCUUUUGCCAGCUAAUUAUGGACUGAAUAUUCAAUCCAGGGUUUGCAAAGUGCUGCUACUGAGCGCCUGCCCCGCCAAGAAAGGAUUUAAACAUGGUCAACUCAGGGUAAGUUAUUUUGCAAAUCCAAUAUUUAUUAUUUUUAUGUACAAAAAGUAAACUGCAAGUGAACAUAAAAUCAAAUCCAAGCCUUUUGGCUGCAUGGACUGUUGGACUUUAUCUCAUAGUUACAGCGAAUCAUAUACGCCAUAGACUGCCACCACCAUGCUACAUCUGUGACACAGCAGGAAUGUGCUGUUUGCCUAUCUGAGGAAUGUUCAAUAGAGAAAAGUAGAUCCUAAAGCAACCUGGAGGUCAGAGGAUUCUGAGAUAAUCCCACUGUUGAAAAACAUCUAAACAGCAAAUGUCCAAUGUGUAAUAAAAUAGUUAAAAGGUCCAAAUCCAUUUCUACUUGGCUGAUCAAGCACGAGAAAUCUAACAGCACUUUGUCAUUUUGCUUUUCAGAUUUUCACGGAGGACAUGGGCCAUUGACAUAUAA